GACGAACGCUGGCGGCGUGCUUAACACAUGCAAGUCGAACGGAAAGGCCCCCUUGUGGGGUACUCGAGUGGCGAACGGGUGAGUAACACGUGAGUAACCUACCCUUGACUUUGGGAUAACUUCAGGAAACUGGGGCUAAUACCGGAUAGGAGCUCCUGCUGCAUGGUGGGGGUUGGAACGUUUCGGCGGUUGGGGAUGGACUCGCGGCUUAUCAGCUUGUUGGUGGGGUAGUGGCUCACCAAGGCUUUGACGGGUAGCCGGCCUGAGAGGGUGACCGGCCACAUUGGGACUGAGAUACGGCCCAGACUCCUACGGGAGGCAGCAGUGGGGAAUAUUGCACAAUGGGCGGAAGCCUGAUGCAGCAACGCCGCGUGCGGGAUGACGGCCUUCGGGUUGUAAACCGCUUUCGCCUGUGACGAAGCGUGAGUGACGGUAAUGGGUAAAGAAGCACCGGCUAACUACGUG
rnacentral:rRNA from 1 species